rnacentral:rRNA from 1 species
GACGAACGCUGGCGGCGGGCUUAACACAUGCAAGUCGAACGGCAACGCACUGCUUUCUUGCGGUGCCCGAUUGGCGAACGGGUGAGUAACACGUGAGUAACCUGCCCUUGUCUUUGGGAUAACUUCAGGAAACUGAGGCUAAUCCCGUAUCGGAGCUCCUCCUCGAUGGUGGGCGUUGGAUAGUCGCGGCGGUUGGGGAUGGACUCGCGGCUUACCAGCUUGUUGGUUGGGUAGUGGCUUACCAAGGCAUUGACCGGUAGCCGGCCUGUGAGGGUGACCGGCCACAUGGGGACUGCGAUACGGCCCAGACGCGUACGGGAGACAGCAGUGGGGAAUAUUGCACAAUGGGCGGAAGUCUGAGGCAGAAACGCCGCGUUCGGGAUGACGGCCUGCGGGGUGUAAACCGCUUCCGGCUGUGACGAAGCGUGAGUGACGGUAACGGAUGAAGAAGCACCGGCUAACUACGUG